UUGUUUAUGAUUUAAAGUCUGUCCCGCCCAAUGAUGAUUUUUAAAUGGCUGCAGUAUUUUGACUGUACAAAGGUAGCAUAAUCAUUAGUUUCUUAAUUAGAAGCUGGAAUGAAUGGUUUGAUGAGAAAUUUGCUGUCUCUAUUCAAUUGUAUUAGAAUUUUAUUUUUAAGUGAAAAAGCUUAAAUUUUUUAGAAAGACGAGAAGACCCUAUAGAGUUUUAUUUAUUGAUAAUUGAGAAUUUUAUGAUUUUAGUGUUUUCAAUUUUUUAAUAUAUUUUGUUGGGGUGAUAGGAAAAUUUUUCUAACUUUUUCUGAUUUUUACACUGAUUAGUGAAUUAAUGAUCCUUUUUUAGAUUAUAAGAUUAAAUUACCUUAGGGAUAACAGCGUAAUUUUUUUUGAAAGUUCUUAUUGAUAAAAAAGUUUGCGACCCCCAUGUUGGAUUAAAAUUUAUUUUCGGGGGAGAAGCC
rnacentral:rRNA from 1 species